CUUAGAGUUUGAUCCUGGCUCAGAUUGAACGCUGGCGGCAGGCCUAACACAUGCAAGUCGAGCGGUAGAGAGAAGCUUGCUUCUCUUGAGAGCGGCGGACGGGUGAGUAAUGCCUAGGAAUCUGCCUGGUAGUGGGGGAUAACGUUCGGAAACGGACGCUAAUACCGCAUACGUCCUACGGGAGAAAGCAGGGGACCUUCGGGCCUUGCGCUAUCAGAUGAGCCUAGGUCGGAUUAGCUAGUUGGUGAGGUAAUGGCUCACCAAGGCGACGAUCCGUAACUGGUCUGAGAGGAUGAUCAGUCACACUGGAACUGAGACACGGUCCAGACUCCUACGGGAGGCAGCAGUGGGGAAUAUUGGACAAUGGGCGAAAGCCUGAUCCAGCCAUGCCGCGUGUGUGAAGAAGGUCUUCGGAUUGUAAAGCACUUUAAGUUGGGAGGAAGGGUUGUAGAUUAAUACUCUGCAAUUUUGACGUUACCGACAGAAUAAGCACCGGCUAACUCUGUGCCAGCAGCCGCGGUAAUACAGAGGGUGCAAGCGUUAAUCGGAAUUACUGGGCGUAAAGCGCGCGUAGGUGGUUUGUUAAGUUGGAUGUGAAAUCCCCGGGCUCAACCUGGGAACUGCAUUCAAAACUGACUGACUAGAGUAUGGUAGAGGGUGGUGGAAUUUCCUGU
rnacentral:rRNA from 1 species